GGGAAUCGGCGGGUCCUAAUUCAUGGCAGUCGGAGCGAACAGAUGAGAAGCUUGCUUCUCUGAUGUUAGCGGCGGACGGGUGAGUAACACGUGGGUAACCUACCUAUAAGACUGGGAUAACUCCGGGAAACCGGGGCUAAUACCGGAUAAUAUUUUGAACCGCAUGGUUCAAUAGUGAAAGACGGUUUCGGCUGUCACUUAUAGAUGGACCCGCGCCGUAUUAGCUAGUUGGUAAGGUAACGGCUUACCAAGGCGACGAUACGUAGCCGACCUGAGAGGGUGAUCGGCCACACUGGAACUGAGACACGGUCCAGACUCCUACGGGAGGCAGCAGUAGGGAAUCUUCCGCAAUGGGCGAAAGCCUGACGGAGCAACGCCGCGUGAGUGAUGAAGGUCUUCGGAUCGUAAAACUCUGUUGUUAGGGAAGAACAAAUUUGUUAGUAACUGAACAAGUCUUGACGGUACCUAACCAGAAAGCCACGGCUAACUACGUGCCAGCAGCCGCGGUAAUACGUAGGUGGCAAGCGUUAUCCGGAAUUAUUGGGCGUAAAGCGCGCGUAGGCGGUUUCUUAAGUCUGAUGUGAAAGCCCACGGCUCAACCGUGGAGGGUCAUUGGAAACUGGGAAACUUGAGUGCAGAAGAGGAGAGUGGAAUUCCAUGUGUAGCGGUGAAAUGCGCAGAGAUAUGGAGGAACACCAGUGGCGAAGGCGGCUCUCUGGUCUGUAACUGACGCUGAUGUGCGAAAGCGUGGGGAUCAAACAGGAUUAGAUACCCUGGUAGUCCACGCCGUAAACGAUGAGUGCUAAGUGUUAGGGGGUUUCCGCCCCUUAGUGCUGCAGCUAACGCAUUAAGCACUCCGCCUGGGGAGUACGACCGCAAGGUUGAAACUCAAAGGAAUUGACGGGGACCCGCACAAGCGGUGGAGCAUGUGGUUUAAUUCGAAGCAACGCGAAGAACCCUUACCAAAUCUUGAACAUCCUUUGACCGCCUCUAGAGAAUAGAAGUCUUUCCUCCUUCGGGGGGAACAAAAGUGACAAGGUGGGUGCAUUAUUGUCGUCAGCUUCGUGUCGUGGAGAAUGUUGGGAUUAGUCCCGGCAACGAGCCGCCACCCUUUAGGCUUAAGUUGCCCAUCAAUCAGUUUGGCACCUUCUAGGUUUGAACUGCUGUUGACAACCUCGAGAAGGUGGGGAUAGAACCGUUCUCAAAAAAUC
rnacentral:rRNA from 1 species